ACUUGGGAAAAACCACAUAUUUUCUUUCAGAGGAGGAAGAUUGUGAAAUCCAGCAGACAGAACCCGACAGACCGAUUCCAAAACAGGUUGGCUCAGGCCACCGAAAUCCCACUUCGGGUUUGGGUGAGGCUUUGCAGCGUGGAGGGCCCUCGGAGCUGCUGGGUCUUGGACGGGGUGUGUACAUUAGUCCGAAGAUGCCUGCUAGAGGCCAGAGGCGGAAACAGAGCCUUCCUUGGAGCUGGAGCCAGAGCUCUGCUAGGUGGCAGCUGGCCUGUGGCAGCUGGUGACAACAGAGCUGGAAGGAGGCUGGGGCCUGUCACAGAACAGGGAGGGGAGGCAGCACUAGGCCAGUUCAAAGGCAAAGCCAAGGCAGCAGCUCCUGGCACUUUCCUGCCCACACACCACAGAGCUCUGGAUAAACAACGGCAUUCUUUGUUUCAGGAUGGGGAAGGGAAGUCAGCAGAUCUCUCGGAGGGAGUCUUCUUCCUUGGCAAGGCCUCUGCUGACGGCCAAGGCGCUUUCCUUCCAAGUUGCUUUUCCAAAGGAGUCUCCUCUGCACAGUACUUCAGGGGAUGCGGGGCCAAAGACUGCCCUGGAGCUCCAAGGAGCAGCAGGUGGGCCUUGAGCUGCUGUGCUUGCCAGGUGUCGGGGAGCCAGGACAACGCAGCCUGCACACCCAGCUUGAUAGAUUUCUGUAUGUGAGGCCAAGUCAGAUGGAAAAA